AAAAUUAUAGUUUAUCCAAAACAUUUAAUUUGCAUUUAAAAAAAACAUAAGUUAAUUUUA
rnacentral:tRNA from 1 species